CACGGGGGGAACGAGCGUUGUUCGGAUUUACUGGGCGUAAAGGGUGCGUAGGCGGGUCGGCAAGUCGGGUGUGAAAUUCCAUGGCUUAACCAUGGAUCUGCAUUCGAAACUGUUGGUCUUGAGUACUGGAGAGGUGAGUGGAAUUCUCGGUGUAGCGGUGAAAUGCGUAGAGAUCGAGAGGAACACCGUUGGCGAAGGCGGCUCACUGGACAGAUACUGACGGUGAGGCACGAAGGUCGGGGGAGCAAACAGG
rnacentral:rRNA from 1 species